GUGACUGCGUACCUUUUGUAUAAUGGGUCAGCGACUUAUAUUCUGUAGCAAGGUUAACCGUAUAGGGGAGCCGGAGGGAAACCGAGUCUUAAUUGGGCGUUAAGUUGCAGGGUAUAGACCCGAAACCCGGUGAUCUAGCCAUGGGCAGGUUGAAGGUUGGGUAACACUAACUGGAGGACCGAACCGACUAAUGUUGAAAAAUUAGCGGAUGACCUGUGGCUGGGGGUGAAAGGCCAAUCAAACCGGGAGAUAGCUGGUUCUCCCCGAAAGCUAUUUAGGUAGCGCCUCGUGAAUUCAUCUCCGGGGGUAGAGCACUGUUUCGGCUAGGGGGUCAUCCCGACUUACCAACCCGAUGCAAACUGCGAAUACCGGAGAAUGUUAUCACGGGAGACACACGGCGGGUGCUAACGUCCGUCGUGAAGAGGGAAACAACCCAGACCGCCAGCUAAGGUCCCAAAGUCAUGGUUAAGUGGGAAACGAUGUGGGAAGGCCCAGACAGCCAGGAUGUUGGCUUAGAAGCAGCCAUCAUUUAAAGAAAGCGUAAUAGCUCACUGGUCGAGUCGGCCUGCGCGGAAGAUGUAACGGGGCUAAACCAUGCACCGAAGCUGCGGCAGCGACGCUUAUGCGUUGUUGGGUAGGGGAGCGUUCUGUAAGCCUGUGAAGGUGUGUCGUGAGGCAUGCUGGAGGUAUCAGAAGUGCGAAUGCUGACAUAAGUAACGAUAAAGCGGGUGAAAAGCCCGCUCGCCGGAAGACCAAGGGUUCCUGUCCAACGUUAAUCGGGGCAGGGUGAGUCGACCCCUAAGGCGAGGCCGAAAGGCGUAGUCGAUGGGAAACGGGUUAAUAUUCCCGUACUUGGUGUUACUGCGAAGGGGGGACGGAGAAGGCUAUGUUGGCCGGGCGACGGUUGUCCCGGUUUAAGCGUGUAGGCUGGUUUUCCAGGCAAAUCCGGAAAAUCAAGGCUGAGGCGUGACGACGAGGCACUACGGUGCUGAAGCAACAAAUGCCCUGCUUCCAGGAAAAGCCUCUAAGCAUCAGGUAACACGAAAUCGUACCCCAAACCGACACAGGUGGUCAGGUAGAGAAUACCAAGGCGCUUGAGAGAACUCGGGUGAAGGAACUAGGCAAAAUGGUGCCGUAACUUCGGGAGAAGGCACGCUGACACGUAGGUGAAGUGAUUUACUCAUGGAGCUGAAGUCAGUCGAAGAUACCAGCUGGCUGCAACUGUUUAUUAAAAACACAGCACUGUGCAAACACGAAAGUGGACGUAUACGGUGUGACGCCUGCCCGGUGCCGGAAGGUUAAUUGAUGGGGUCAGCGCAAGCGAAGCUCCUGAUCGAAGCCCCGGUAAACGGCGGCCGUAACUAUAACGGUCCUAAGGUAGCGAAAUUCCUUGUCGGGUAAGUUCCGACCUGCACGAAUGGCGUAAUGAUGGCCAGGCUGUCUCCACCCGAGACUCAGUGAAAUUGAACUCGCUGUGAAGAUGCAGUGUACCCGCGGCAAGACGGAAAGACCCCGUGAACCUUUACUAUAGCUUGACACUGAACAUUGAGCCUUGAUGUGUAGGAUAGGUGGGAGGCUUUGAAGUGUGGACGCCAGUCUGCAUGGAGCCGACCUUGAAAUACCACCCUUUAAUGUUUGAUGUUCUAACGUGGACCCGUGAUCCGGGUUGCGGACAGUGUCUGGUGGGUAGUUUGACUGGGGCGGUCUCCUCCUAAAGAGUAACGGAGGAGCACGAAGGUUGGCUAAUCCUGGUCGGACAUCAGGAGGUUAGUGCAAUGGCAUAAGCCAGCUUGACUGCGAGCGUGACGGCGCGAGCAGGUGCGAAAGCAGGUCAUAGUGAUCCGGUGGUUCUGAAUGGAAGGGCCAUCGCUCAACGGAUAAAAGGUACUCCGGGGAUAACAGGCUGAUACCGCCCAAGAGUUCAUAUCGACGGCGGUGUUUGGCACCUCGAUGUCGGCUCAUCACAUCCUGGGGCUGAAGUAGGUCCCAAGGGUAUGGCUGUUCGCCAUUUAAAGUGGUACGCGAGCUGGGUUUAGAACGUCGUGAGACAGUUCGGUCCCUAUCUGCCGUGGGCGCUGGAGAACUGAGGGGGGCUGCUCCUAGUACGAGAGGACCGGAGUGGACGCAUCACUGGUGUUCGGGUUGUCAUGCCAAUGGCACUGCCCGGUAGCUAAAUGCGGAAGAGAUAAGUGCUGAAAGCAUCUAAGCACGAAACUUGCCCCGAGAUGAGUUCUCCCUGAGACUUAGAGUCUCCUGAAGGAACGUUGAAGACGACGACGUUGAUAGGCCGGGUGUGUAAGCGCAGCGAUGCGUUGAGCUAACCGGUACUAAUGAACCGUGAGGCUUAACCUUAC
rnacentral:rRNA from 1 species